UUGUGUGAGCAUGCUGUGUGCGGAGGUCAGAGGACAACUUAGUAAAGAUGUUUCUCUCCUUCCACCUUCUGGGAACUGGAGUCAGGUUGUCAGGUUCGUGUGGCAGCGCAUUUACCUGCUGAGCCGUAUCCCCAUCCUGACACUUUCCCAUCUCUGACUGGAUUGGUCCAGUGCAUCUGCAGGUUCUCCCCACCCGAGGGGGUCCAGGGAGCUUCAGAUGUGAAGUCUAAAUUCUCAGCUUCCUGCUCCAGCCACCACCAUGUCUGCCACUUGCCACCAUGUUAUUCCUGUCAUUAUGGAAUGUAUCCCCCCUGGAACCAUAAGCCCAAAGAAACUCUUCUGCAAGCUGCUUUGAUCAUGUCGUCUUAGCACAGUGAUAGACGCAUAACGAAUACAGUAAUCAACAAAAUGCUUCCGUAUCUACAAUUUCAGUUUACUCUCAUGAUACUCCACUUUCCAGUUCGGAGGCUGAGGCUCAAAGAGCUUGGAUGAUCUAUUCAAAGUCAUACAGACAGUAAGUUCCAGGGUUGAAGACUGAGCAACAGAGUCUCUGCUGCUAGAUUCUAUUUUCUAUUACUUUCAGAUGCCUUCCUGAUGAUCUGCUUACUGGACUUUACACAUUAGAGUAGGUGGGCUAAGGGCUUUCUGUGACAUGGCUGCAAUUUCCUGUAUGAAAAGACUUCCUGGUACAGCUGACUAUGGUGCAGGCUUCAGGCAGCAACAUUUAUUGCCGGAGUCUAGUCCCUUUGUGCUCACAAGUGAUUGGACCAGGGUGAAUGACAAAUGAUAUGGCCUCUCCUCUGUGUGCUUUGGUAGCUCUUGCUAAGUUGGACAUCACCUCCCAGCCGAAGCUUGCAUUUGCAGUACAGCUAUUGACACAGUUAACUCAACUAGUUCUCAUCUGUCAGGACCUUGAGGUAGGAAAUAGCAAGCAAAUGGUGCAUUUACCCGAGGGGGAAAAAAAGGUUGCUCUGGGAAGGAGAGAGGCCAGUGGGGCCACAGUGUGCUGGCGCUAAGGUAGUUUGUUAGGAGACCCCAGAGACUGAGCAAAAGGUCAGGGUAGGGUGCAAAGCCUGCAUGUGAGAUGGACAGGUGGCAGCGAGACAAGAUGGAGUGUUGGUGGAGGCUUCAUGCCAUGCCUUGUGGAUUCUUGGUAGGGCUGCCCGGGGAGAGGAAGGUAAACUGGGGCUAGCAAGCAAGGCCCCUCUAACCAUCUUGAUCUAGGACCACUCAAUAGAUACAGGCUUCUCAGGUCUUUAAGUUCUACGGCCACAAGUUCCCAGUGCCCAUGAUGUCUGCCAUGCUUGCAUGGACUCCUGGUAAGAUCUAACCCUAACAUGAGCUGUCUUCAGAGAGUUCUUUUCCUAGGAACUAAAUGUAACUAACUCAAGCUGGCAUGGCUGAUGUUAAAAUUUAAAAACCAACUCUGUGUUAAUAAGCCUCAAGGCACAUAGUGUUUUCUAGAACAAAAUAUGUACACAUGAAGACCCACAAAGAGUCUGACAGUUAAGCAAUGCCAACACUGUCAAUGCUCAUAACUGCUUGUAGUUCAUGAAAGGAAGCUAGCUCUACCCCUCAGAGAACACUGUGACUGGGAACUCAUUAACUGUCGUUAACCCACAGAGGUGACGAUGACAAUCGCUCCAGAGUAAGACAAGGACAACUUGUGUACACACAGUUGGGUGCUAAGUGGUACAGUCAAGGAAACAGGCUCAUGAACUCUACGUGUGCAUUGUAACGGACAUAAACUAGUGCUUCCUGCAAGACUGUGACUAGCUAAAAUGGUGUCUUCUGGGUGGUCUUUGACCUACCAAAAGAUAAUCUUCAUAGCUCCGGAACACAGACAGUGUCAAGAGUUCUGGGCUGAAAAGAAGGGAUCUGGCAUGCUAGCCUAGUUCUGUAGUCUGGACAAGCAAAUCUGCUUUCUUUUCUUCUCUCUCUCUCUCUCUCUCUCUCUCUCUCUCUCUCUCUCUCUCCUCUCCUCUCCUCUCCUCUCCUCUCCUCUCCUCUUCUUUCUUCCUUUCUUUUUCUCCUUCCUUUCUUCCUUCCUUUCUUCCUUCCUUUCUUCCUUCCUUUCUUCCUUCCUUUCUUCCUUCCUUCCUUCCUUCCUUCCUUCCUUCCUUCCUUCCUUCCUUUUCUUUUCCUCCCUCUUCCUCCCCCUUUUCUUCUGUCUUUUUGUUUCUUUUUGACAGGAUCGUACAUAACACAAGCUAGCCUUGAACUUGCAAUGUAAUUAAGGGUGGGUCUGAACUUCUGAUUCUCCUGCCUCCAACUUCUAGAUUACAGAGACUGUAGAAAUGCACCAUUUGUAGUGUCAGGGAUCAAACCCAGGGCUUCAUGUAUGCUCUGCAUGCACACUGUACUAAUAGAGCCACACCCCCAACUCCAUGAUGAACAAUUUCAUCCCCCCCAUCAUAGUUACUCCAUUAUCAAACAAAUGGGCUUACUUAAAGACGUUUAAGGUAAUUAUAAUUCUAAAAUGGUAUAAUGAAUGAUCAGUCACAUAUUCUACAUGCGGCUAGUCAUCCAGUAGCUAUUCUCAUUAGACACAUGGCAGCCACAUUCCCAUUUUAUGUCUAAACCCUCCCAAAUAACUCAAACCAGGACACAGGGUUGGUUACUUGGUGUACAGACCUAAAGGGGCCUCAGCGACUGACUAAAGAUUGAAGAGACUUCAUUGAGCAGCUCAUUUCUUACAUCAAUUACAUUUAAAAUAAAUCAAGGUGGAAUGGAUAAGAGUGCACAGUCCACUCUUGUCAUCCUUUCUCCCUCAUUUCUUUCAAGGGCAAGCUGGGAUGCUUAGUUCCCCUCUCGCAGGCUUUCCCAUAGAAAUGCCAGUGGCAACACCUUCUUCUUUAUUUAAUACCCCACUAAAGCUGGGGCACAGCGUCCACACCCCCUCCAUCCUGGUUCAGUGCUGAGCUCUAAGCUGCCUGUCUGCUGGGAGUUAGGCAGGUGCAUCUGGGAUGGGGGGAGGGGAAGGUCAUCGAGGCGGAUGGUCAGCCGGGGGUGGGGUGGGGUGGUGGUGCAACCACAGAAUUAUCUUCCUCAUCAUCUAAUGGACACACAGUGCUUUAAAGCUUCCAGCCUUUCUCUCUCAGUUUGGGGAGGGUUGGAAUUUCAGAGGGUCAGGAAUUUUGGAGAGAAGUGCUCCAAGUCCCCAGAAAGCACACACAGCCUGCGUGUGGGGUUGGGGGUGGGUGGGAGCUUAUGGUGCAUUUUAAUGUCUCCCACCCACGGAUGCUAUGGAGAGUUUUCUCUAAAACCCUUCAAAACCAUUUUAGAAUAAUUUUGGAAUCCCCAUCUGACUGCUUCUCCUGGAUCUUCUUUCUCUGGCAGAUCACACUCCCCCAGUCACUGCCUUUUGGACAGAGACGAGUCUGGCAUUACCAUCCCUCCUGUGACAGCAUGGGAGGCUAAGUGGACUUUGCCCCCUGAGGGAGAUGGAGAACCUGGGUCCAUCUCUGGCUGUUUCUGGACGAUUUUCUCAUCUAUAAAAUUAGAACACUGGGCAUCUGAGAAAAUAUUUUCAAAACAUCCUUAAGCUCCAACUCUGUGUUCUGAGCCACAGCUUCUCCUGUGUGGGGUCGGGUGGGGAGUGCCAAGGACUCUGGGCAAGCGUGUGGGCUGUUCUGAACUCUGUGGCUUUGCUUCAGGAGUGUCAUCUUGAAAGGCCUUCUGAGAUUACAGUCUUCUACACUGCAAAGCUCUUCUGAAAGAAAUGCAGGGAUGAGCCUCACCUCCUCCUGGUCUACCAGACAGCAUGUCCUAGCUCUAGUCUAAAUUUCUCUCAGGAAAAAUUCUCUUAUGGAAAGUUCUUGUGUCUACAUUCAGUGUACUUGUCCCCAAGGUCACUUAGCAUUGCUUUAGAAAACCCUCCCAAAUGUUGGCUCACUGACUCACAAUGUGGCCACAUGUCCUGAUCCUCCAACCACAUGGCACUACUAAGAGGUGAGAUAGAAGUCAUGUUGACUACUUAACUAAAGGCCAAAUAGCCUCUCACACAUACACCACAUACACACCAGUCGUAUUAAAUGUGAUCUUUCUUGGUUACUGUCAAGGUCAUGAAAAAUCUUCCUGCCCCCGUUGCAGGAAGAUAAGUCUCUCAUUAGCAACUGUCUUGCCCACUUCUUUCUGAGGAGAGAGGUUAUGAAAUGUGAGCAAGUGCCAGGCGGUGGUGGCACAUGCCUUUAAUCCCAGCACUUGGGAGGCAGAGGCAGGCGGAUUUCUGAGUUCGAGGCUAGCCUGGUCUACAGAGUGAGUUCCAGGGCUACACGGAGAAACCCUGUCUCAAAAAAAAAAAAAAAAAAUGUGAGCAAGCUCACACUUUUCUAUCCUUUGCUGCCUACAGAACCAGGUCCGCAUCUCUGAGUCUGUCUUUUGUGGCUUGGAGGAGCCAGUCUUCCCAACUCUCCAGUGCAUCUGCUAUAUAGACAGAUCCUCUGCUUCAAAGCACAGCCACCCUUGCUGAUUUCCAAACACGCUCAGCAUUUCUCUCAAGUCCCUGUCUCUUACCACGAUGUUUCCUUACUCUGGGUAAGUAUGCCUUCCUCUAAACAACACAGUUGGCACCUUCUGGAAACCCUUUGCUACCUCUAAGCUCAACUCUAAGGCAAGGAAGCCUUCCCUACAGUCAUCUCUUCUAUAGCCACCCCUAUAUGUGCCACUGACACCAGCAGGCCAUAGAUUUUCUAUCUCACUCAAGUCAAUCACGAGACUAAUCCUAAGAGCUAUGGGUGACAGGAUCUUAUGAAGGCAGACAGGGGAAACUUGAGAAUGCUUUUUAAUUGCAUAUAUAUAUAUACACACAUAUAUAUAUAUAUACACAUAUACAUAUAUACAUACACAUACACACACGCAUACAUAUAUAUACACACACACACAUAUAUAUACACACACACAUACAUAUAUAUACACACAUACAUACAUACAUACAUAGAUACAUAUAUUUGGUGUUUGGCCUACAUGUAUGUCUGUGUGAUCCACUGGAACUUGAGUUACAGAAAGUUGAGAGCUGCAUGUAGGUGCUGGGAGAGUCGCCAAUGCUCUUAACUGUUGAGCCAUCUCUCUAGCCCCUAUUAUUUUAAUUUUGAUCAGGACAGAAAAAUGAAUUCAAAGAUAUCCUGGAUCUGAGGAUCUUAUAUUUUAUUGAAAAGAGGGAGAGAGGGAAGGAAUACCACAGAAUUAAUCAUGAGAUCACCCAGCAGCAGUGCCUGAGCCCAAACUGGCUCAAUCUAAGGGCCCAGAUGAAUUGAGACUCACUCAGGCUGCCCCAUAGCAGUUUUGGAAACUCAAAUUCUGCUGGUCUAGGUGGAGCCUAGAACAUUCUAAGAUAAAGAGAAAACUACGAGAAAAGAAACCACUCUGUCAGGCGAAUUCAGAUAAACGAAGAUGAACUGAUUCCGACUCACGUUUUGUGAGAUGAGCUGUUUUCUCCCCAACUACGCUUUGUUUUGUGUAUUUUAACGUCUAUAAUUUUAAUGUGGGCAUACGAAAUUUUUAGUUUUACGGGUGCUUCUGGGAUGUUGCUUUUCUACUUGUUAAAUGAUCCCAAAGUCCUUGGUAAGAGUUCUAAAUUCUGUAGGGCUGCUCUGGAAUCUCAAAGCUCCCUUUGAGUGUUGAUGAACCAAUCAACUCUAACUUAAGUCAUGGCUUCUUUGCUUCUUCUGUGGUGCUGGGUUUUGCACUUGGAGCCUUGGGAAUGUGCUCGCCCACUGAGCUCCGUGCCCAGUCCACUCAACUCAAUUUUACCCAUAAGAGGCAGCUUCUUAUUUUGUUAGCCACUAGCCAUCUUUAUCUAGCUUCCCUAGUGGGUGGGACCACUUGCAUGUUUCUCCUAAUGCAAAACUUCUGGAAGAUUCCUAGCUUCUGGCUGCUCAGAGUUAAUAGUCAAGUCUUAUACCCACUAUCAACUGGCAUGGCCUUUAUGUAUUGCUUAAGAUUUAUAGCUCUUUCUACCCAAUGUACAUCUGAAUUUUGAACAAAUAUGGCACUGAAAAAUAAUUUAUAUUUCAAUUAGUGUCUUGAAUCUACCUUCAUUUAUCAUGAUUCAUAAUAUACUUAGGCUCCUGCCAUUCUGUUUGUAGUUCUUCUAGUAUUGAAAUUUUAUACUUAUAUUUUCCCAACAUAAAAAUACAUACUUUUCUAACAAAAAGUUAGCUCCUACUAUUUCCUUCCUUCCUUCCUUCUUUCCUUCCCUCCCUCCAUCCCUCUCUCCCUCCCUCCCUACGCCCCCCCCCCUUUCUUUCUUCUGAGAGAGAUUUUGCUCUGUAGCUUCUGUGGUUUAAGGCUGCCUUGAAACUUGAUCUUCCCAUCCUCCAGGGCUGGACUUACAGAUGUGAGACCAACAGUUGCUACCUUUACCCUGUUCUUGAGGCAAUCAAGGAUUUCAUCUUCUUGGUCUCCUUCCCUCUAAAGUGCUCCAUUUUUUAAAACUGUUGUUCCCUCAUUUCAAAUCUGCGUUUUUCCUCAUUGCUUGUACUAAAUAUUUAAUAAUAUUUGAAACCAUAUGUUAGUAUUUGUUAUUCUCAGUAUAUCUUACACCUAAUUCUUCCCUUCAUAUUUAAUUUUCUUUUUUUUUAAUCAAGGACUUAUAAUUCCUAGGUCCUUUUAUGUCUGAAAACAGAUUUAUUUUAUCUUUAUUUUAAAUUAUAGUUUAGCUCAGCAUAGAAUUCUAAGUUAUAAAAGUUUUACAUUAGCACACAAUCUAUCCCUCAGCCUCUGCGGUGGAGAAUACACACACACACACACACACACACACACACAGAGAGACACACACACACACAUGUACACACAUGCACAUACACACACAAUGCACACACAGACACCUGAGCACACACACAAUGCACUCAUAGUAAUAACGUUUCUAUUACUGCGCUUUUGCUUGCUAGCUUGACUCACUAUCAUUCAUAUGUAUUCCCCCUGCCCCCAUUUUAGACAUUGUACCUCUUACAUCUAGAAGUCCAACAUGUGCAAUUUUUCAUAUCUUCCAGGUAUCUAUCCAGCUUUUUAAAUGUAUAAAUAUGCCCAAUAACUAUAACUAUAACUCUCUCUCUGUGUCUCUGUCUGUCUGUCUGUCUGUCUGUCUGUCUCUCUCUCUCUCUCUCUAUAUAUAUAUAUAUAUAUAUAUUCAUAUAUAUUCAUGUCUGUUAAUUCUAGCUUCUUUGUAAAUUCAGAAUUAGUGUCAACUGAUUCCUGCCACACAUUUUCCAGAUUCUUUGCAUGCCUGACAAUUUUUAUUAGAAACUAGACAUUGUCGAUUUUGCCUUAUUAUAUUUUGCCAAUAUUUUAUAUUCCCUUAACUAUGCUCCCCUCUCCCCCAAAAGAAAGGUCUUUUCUGCGUAGCUCUGGAUGUAGACCAGGCUGGCUUCAAACUUGGCAAUCUGCCUCCCAAAUGUUGGAAUUAAAGGUGUGUAAUACUAGCUCAGCGCCCCAGGACUAUUUUUGAGUUUUAUUCUGUGAAACAGUUACAUCUUUAAGUCUUGUAGAGAGAACUACAGCCAUCUUUAGCCCUGGACCUGCUGUUCUGCCCUGAGAUAGCUUAUAUACACUCUGACUGAUGUCUCAGAAACAUCUUUGGGCUACAACCACUCCCUGUACGGAAACCUAGGGACUCAAUGCAGAAAGCUGGGCUGCUUUACAGGACUCAGUUUGCCUUGCUUCUUAACCUCUCGGACAUUGUCCUCAUUUCUGGUGUUCAUUUUCUUGAACAUCAUUUUUCAUAUUUUGUUCGCUAAAAAUUGUUUUAGGCAGAAAAAUAAAUCUAGUCUUUGCCGCUCUAUCUUGGUCAGAUUUAGAAGUCUCACAUCUUUCUCCAGGACCACAACCUCUCUUACUCCAAUUUGCUUACUGUGUGCUUCACAUAGGCUGUGCAUCUCCAGUCUGAGACUCAUGAUGCUCAAAGAGCUCUGGGCUUUGAAUUAACUUUUGAUUAUGGAUGUUCGACUAAUAAAAUUUGUACAAAUAUUACAAAAUCCAAAAAAAAAAAACCAAACAAAAAACCUCAAACAAACAAAACCUCCAAGCUUCUGGUCUCUAGUAUUUGGAUUAAAGAUGCUAAAACUGUGUUCUGAUAUGUCUUUACCUCCUGGGACUGUUAGUUCAGAAAGCAUCCUGCUUUUUCUAACUGACCAGCCUUCCUUCUUCACUCUCCUUCCUAUGUAUCAAAGAUGCCUUACAGUGAUGCUUUACCAACAUCUCAAUUCCCCUCCCAAGUCUGAUAAUUUUACCCAGUAGAAUACAUAGUGGAUUCUCAAUAGAUUU